AUUUAGAUCGAGUUCAGACAUUGAAACCAAACUCCAAGAAGAGAAAGUUGCUUCGUUUUCUCAUACAGCUUCCAAUUCAAAGUGGCUCUGCUCUAGGAUCCAUGCAACAGACUGGCUGCUGCAGGAGCUCUGUACGUCCCGUUCUUUCAGAUUCAGACCCAAGUGUGUUGUAGUCGGCUUUUUCAAAUACUUCUGAGUCUAGAGCAGAGUGAUCUGUGACCAAAACAGUUUCUUAUACAUCUGGACAACCAACCUGGUUAAGCCAAGGAAGAAGUAAGGCCAAAAAAAAAAUGAAAAGACAUGUGAGGGCAUAUCAAAACAUCAUCUUUGAUCUUUCAGAACCAGAAGUUAUCCCUCACGAAUCCCACCAAGAGUCUCAUGCCUCCACUGGAACAACUUCCUUUUUGUACGUUGUCCUUUCCUGAAGAAUUAUGCAAGAUUCAAGAGAGAGCAAGAGAGAGAGCAAGAGACGUGAGUGCAUGUAAAAAAAGAAGAAGAUCAAGUUGCAUACGUUGAACUGGAUUAAAGUACUUAAAUGCUUCCACCGGUUCCUUUUGUGGUGUUUUUUAUUUUGGAUGAAGAAUAGAGAGCUCCAUCAAUAGUUGUGUUGUAAGAAAAGAGAUUCACUUAGAAAAGUGGGUUGAUGUGUGGUUAUUGGUAUCAUGUGUUAAAAAUAUAUUUUCAGAGAAAUAUAUUAAAAUAUACAUACACAAAUGUAAAAGAUGAACUAAAUAAAAUGUAUAAUAAAAAAAAGAUAGUUUAACGAAGCAAUUAAUUUUUGGGCAGGUUUGCUAUCGUAUGUGAUUAUUGGUAUCAUGUGUUAAAAAUAUAUUUUCAGCGAAAUAUAUUAAAAUAUACAUACAUGAAUUAUUUACACUACAACAAUUAACAAACGAAACAGUAAUUAAUUAACAGUUUUUGAAAGUAAAACCAAUAUUGUAAAUGUAUCCCGUAUUUAUUUUAUAAAUAGCCAUUUGAAUUUGCAAAACCUUCAACAUUAUAUAUUUAAAGAAAAAUAUUAGUGUUUUAAUAUAUAUAUAUAUAUAUAUAUAUAUAUAUAUAUAUAAGAGAAAUUCUCUAGCUCUUUUCAAGUUUUUGUCACAAAAAUAGUCUUCAAUAAGAAAAAUGAUCGAAAAAAGUUUUAUUAAAGGGUAAAAGUACAUUUUUAGUCUAGGGUUAACUAAUUUAGAUUUAAGGUUUAGAGUUAAGGGGUGGGGUUUUGGGGAUAAAAUUUCAAAUUAAAAAAAAAAUUAUUAAAAUUUUAAAAAUAGAAAAGGGAUAUUUUGGUCAAUUUUUUUUUAGAGAUAUUUUAUGACAAAAACUUAAAAUGACUAUUUGAGAGAAUUCUCCUAUGUAUAAUCAGUGUCACUUUAUAUAAUUAUUAGUUGCAGUACCUAUAUUUCCUAUUUCAUUCAAAUGAAACGAUAAAAUUAGUAGAAAUACAUAACAUUACUAAAAUUUGGUGAAGAAUUAGUCAACAAAUAAUUUUUUUGUGAAUAUACAUAAUAUUACCCAAUACGUAAAUUUUAAGAAUACAUAUAAAAUUUCAACAAUAUAUAAAGAUACAAAAAGAGAAACCAAAACUAAAACAAAAAAAGGUUCCAAAACGAGACCAAGAUAAACCAAUCCCAAAACUGAAAUUUAAGGACAAAAUAGCUUUCCUUCACAAAAACAACCGAAACCAAUCACCACAAUAUGUUAAUAUGGGUGAGAAGGUUAGCACAGCUAUGUUAUGUUUGGAUGAGUGUUGUCGUAUUUCACCCAUGUUGACAACUUUAGUCGAUGGUCUCAUAGAUAAAUGAUAAAUGAUUUUCUCAAGAAUAUUUGAGAUACUGUUUCAAUUUCGCAUUCUUUAUAUUUGGUGUUUUUGUUAAAAUUGUUUUUUUUUUGUGUUCAUUAAUCAAUAUUAGAACUGUUGCUCUAUUUUUAGGGACUAUGCAUCACCUUCGAUCAAUCUCCAGAGUAGAAAAACUACUUUAAACAUGUAUUUAGGUUGACAAUAUAUAUAUAUAUAUAUAUAUAUAUAUAUAUAUAUAUAUAUAUAUAUAUAUAUCUUAGUGUGACUUCUCAUUUCAUAUAGACAAUACAUAUAUUUGUUUUACUAACUUUGUUGAUCGGAGCGACGAACACAUGAUUUAUUACAUGAUUUUUUGUAAAUUUCUGUAUGAUUUUGUGUCAGCUAAUUAGAGACACAAGUAAAUAUUUUAUCUCUUAGUUUAGCAAAAAACAAAAAAAAACAAAUCUCUUUUCAUGCUGCACAAAUUUGACUUUAGCUAAAAUUUGGUUCCUUAGUUUUCAAUUACCCAAUUGCAAAAGAAUCAUAUGAAAAUCUGCUCGAGACAAAAGAUAAUAAAUCCUGUAAACACCGAAACAAACUUGACUUUUUAAAAAAAUAUAUCAAAUCCCGCGCGAAGCGCGGGCUACCCCUAGUAGCUUAUAUAGAGUUAUACCAAUAUUUUUCUUAUCAGAUUUGUGAAUCCCAAAAAUCUAUGGUAAGCAAGCGUAGACAAAAAAAUAAAUAAAUAAUCUAUCGGAAGCGGUUUGAUCCUCGGUCAAACCUUGCAAACCUCUGUGUAAAAUAUAUAUUCCAUCUAUUUUAUAUUAUAAGUAGUUUUAGCAAAAAAAUACAUUUUAUAAUAGAAAUUUUUGUAAUUUUUUUAUAUUUAUUAAAUAUUGUAUGAGCAAUUAAAUUAUGUAUUUAUACAUUAUAUACUAAAUAAUAUUUUUAAAAUUUCUGGGCUGGAUUUUCCAUGAUUUUAAGAAUCCAACGUAAUAUUAAUAAUGUAUAUAUCUAUAUUAUUAAAACUGAAAUAUUUUUGAUAAUGUUUGGAAACAUGAAUAUCAUUAUAAAUGAUAAUUGUUUGAAAACAUAGAUAGCAGUAUAAAAAAGAAAUAUAGAAUCCUUUUAGUAAUUUAAAUAAUAUAAUUACAUUAAUUAUCUUUCCAUAUUUCAUUCAGUUUAACAAUUUCAUUAGUUAUAUUACCUUAACAAAGACCGCUACUGAUUGUUCUGAAGAUGUGGACAGUGAAGCUCUUGCAACUCUUAUCCUUAACAAGCUACGUGCUGGAAUCAAGGUUUGAAACUUAGACACCUGAAACUUCUAAUUUAAUAUUCUUUCUUUAUUCCAGCACGUAGUUCUCCAGUCGUCGUCGUCUUCCAUCUCUUCUUAUCUCAGCACCUUCAUCUUUACAGCUUCCCCUUCUCCGCUUGAACGUAUACGUUCAUUAGCAUUUAGCUCAAUCAUUAAUUGCAGAUAUCCUAAGGACAUGAAUCGAUUUCCAUUCCACCAGCUCCACAUUAUAUAAGUCCCUCAUCUCUUUCUUCCUUCCUCUCAUCACCACAGUAACAGAAAUCAAUUUAUCAAAUCCACAAAAGGGAACAGAGACAGCGAAAUUUACCGGCAACCACCAUGUGUCUCUCUACAGUGACGAGUACCCUGAUUUUAUAAUAACUAUACAAGUAAAGAUAUUACCGCUCUUAACUACAACUAUGCUAUGUUGAAGGCAAGGUGGUACUUAACAAGCAUGAGGAAGAAAAAGCCACAUAUUACCGCUCUUAACUACAACUAUGCUAUGUUGAGUCAACUUGAUUUCGCUGUUGCUAGAGAUUUAACUUUCAUAAAAUAGAGACUUCCAUGAUGUUGUCCUCGGUCUGUGUGAGGCCAAACUGGUUCCGUCAUCACUGCCUUUUUGAAUCACUAGGCGACGUUCUACUUGAACUCUUUAAGUAACACAAAACUCUGAAUCUGAUGACUAAUUGACGCUAUUUUUAUGUGCUCACUUUCAUAUAGACAUGGCUUUUCUCAGAUGUCAUGGAGUUUAUUAAAGUAAGCUGAGGCUGCUUCGUUGCCUUACAGGAAACUUGGAGGCAUAUGGUAGAUGCUUACUGGGAUCUCUUGAGUCCUGCAAUUCAAUCAGACACCAUGAGGAACAUAAUGGACAUGAAAGCAAACAUGGGUUCCUUUGCUACUGCUCUGAAUGACAAAGAUGUUUGGGUUAUGAAUGUCGUUCCUGAAGACGGGCCUAACACACUUAAACUGAUAUACGACAGAGGCCUGAUGGGUGCUGUUCAUAGCUGGUGUGAAGCCUUCUCAACAUACCCAAGGACUUACGAUCUAUUCAUGUGUUUCUUUGUCACCUUUUUUUUUCUUUUAUAUAAGAAAACUAAUUUCUUAUUUUGUAUUAUUUUAAAUAUAUUUAUUAGGUGAUGUUUUGAAGUUUGUGUGAUUUAUUGAUCUUGAUGGAUGAUGGUGUAAUUUUUAAAAAAUUCUAUUUUUCGGAUAAUUAUAUUAUAUUUUAGCUGAGCAA